rnacentral:rRNA from 1 species
GACGAACGCUGGCGGCGUGCUUAACACAUGCAAGUCGAACGGAAAGGCCCGGCUUUUGUGGGGUGCUCGAGUGGCGAAGGGGUGAGUAACACGUGAGUAACCUGCCCUUGACUUUGGGAUAACUUCAGGAAACUGGGGCUAAUACCGGAUAGGAGCUCCUGCUGCAUGGUGGGGGUUGGAAAGUUUCGGCGGUUGGGGAUGGACUCGCGGCUUAUCAGCUUGUUGGUGGGGUAGUGGCUUACCAAGGCUUUGACGGGUAGCCGGCCUGAGAGGGUGACCGGCCACAUUGGGACUGAGAGACGGCCCAGACUCCUACGGGAGGCAGCAGUGGGGAAUAUUGCACAAUGGGCGGAAGCCUGAUGCAGCAACGCCGCGUGCGGGAUGACGGCCUUCGGGUUGUAAACCGCUUUCGCCUGUGACGAAGCGUGAGUGACGGUAAUGGGUAAAGAAGCACCGGCUAACUACGUG